rnacentral:rRNA from 1 species
CCUACGGGUGGCAGCAGUGGGGAAUAUUGCACAAUGGGGGAAACCCUGAUGCAGCAACGCCGCGUGAGUGAAGAAGUAUUUCGGUAUGUAAAGCUCUAUCAGCAGGGAGGAAAAUGACGGUACCUGACCAAGAAGCACCGGCUAACUACGUGCCAGCAGCCGCGGUAAUACGUAGGGGGCAAGCGUUAUCCGGAUUUACUGGGUGUAAAGGGAGCGCAGACGGCAGUGCAAGUCUGGAGUGAAAGCCCGGGGCUCAACCCCGGAACUGCUCUGGAAACUGUGCGGCUAGAGUACUGGAGGGGCAGGCGGAAUUCCUGGUGUAGCGGUGAAAUGCGUAGAUAUUAGGAGGAACACCAGUUGCGAAGGCGGCCUGCUGGACAGUAACUGACGUUGAGGCUCGAAAGCGUGGGGAGCAAACAGGAUUAGAUACCCUAGUAGUC